rnacentral:rRNA from 1 species
UACGUAGGGGGCAAGCGUUGUCCGGAUUUAUUGGGCGUAAAGAGCGUGUAGGCGGCUAGAUAGGUCCGUUGUGAAAACUCGAGGCUCAACCUCGAGACGUCGAUGGAAACCAUCUAGCUAGAGUCCGGAAGAGGAGAGUGGAAUUCCUGGUGUAGCGGUGAAAUGCGCAGAUAUCAGGAGGAACACCAAUGGCGAAGGCAGCUCGCUGGGACGGUACUGACGCUGAGACGCGAAAGCGUGGGGAGCAAACAGG